rnacentral:tRNA from 1 species
UCCCUGGUGGUCCAGUGGCUAAUUCUUUGCACUCCCAAUGCAGGGGGUCCAGGUUUGAUCCCUGGUCAAGGAA